rnacentral:rRNA from 1 species
AUUGAACGCUGGCGGCAGGCCUAACACAUGCAAGUCGAGCGAGCGGCGGACGGGUGAGUAAUGUCUGGGAAUCUGCCCGAUGGAGGGGGAUAACUACUGGAAACGGUAGCUAAUACCGCAUACCAUCAGAUGACCCCCUAUGGGAUUAGCUUGUUGGUGGGGUAACGGCUCACCUAGGCGACGAUCCCUAGCUGGUCUGAGAGGAUGAUCAGCCACACUGGGACUGAGACACGGUCCAGACUCCUACGGGAGGCAGCAGUGGGGAAUAUUGCACAAUGGGCGCAAGCCUGAUGCAGCCAUGCCGCGUGUAUGAAGAAGGCCUUAGGGUUGUAAAGUACUUUCAGCGGGGAGGCGUUACCCGCAGAAGAAGCACCGGCUAACUCCGUGCCAGCAGCCGCGGUAAUUC